rnacentral:lncRNA from 1 species
UUUCUUCUUUACAGCUUGUUAUCAUUUACUUCACAAUUUAAAAGAGUUCAUUUAACAUUCCACCUUAGACAAUGUGAUAGUCAUCAUCAAGUCUUUGUGUGAGAAAGAAAGCAGACUCCUCCCUGCGUGAGUUGUAUCUUCAACUGUGUCAUUGAUUAGAACUUCAGAACUCCCUUCUUAUCAAGGUAGCCUGUUUCUUCAUGCUUUAGGCUACAUACUUUAAGGAUUUUGUUUUAAAGAUACUUUAAGUUGUUUAGUUCUAUCACUGAGAAAAUAGAACAGUCUUAAAAAUGCCUUGUGCUUUUUACAGCUAGUAUAGAUGAUGUCUCACUUAUAUUAGUACAGAACUUCUGCUAAGUAUAUCUUUGUUUUCAAGUUCAUUAAAGUGCUGGGUUUAUUUUGGAAUGCCAUCAUUGGGAUUGCUUUAUAUUGUGAAUAUCUUUCUCCGUUAACCUCAGGAAAUUCAAGAUAUUUUGCAUUAGAACUACCUCAUCCCCACAUACCUGUUUCUUGGCCUGGCAGGAUUUGCAUUGUCGGCCUUCACGCCAAGACUCUUGGUGAGGCCCUGAAAAAUAAAUUACUUCUCAUUAAUGUGUAUAUGGCUAAUUCUCUCUCUCUACUCUGAGGGGAAUAAAAUGGUUUUUUUGUCAUUUUACAUGGAACAAUGGGAGAAUAUUUUCAAGACAACAGACAGGAAGUAAAGAUUAAUAUGUUAAAUGAAAACAAUAGGCAAUGCUCAUACUAUGUCUUUCUAUCCAUAUUAUGACUUUCUAUCCAUAUUAUGACUUUCUGAUAGUAAACAUGAGGAAAA